CAGAAUUCUGAGAGAGGCGGUCUUGUCUGUUUCAACCCAGCCUCCAAAGCACUCUUCUCAUUUAUAAAGCACAAGGUGCUCUGAGGCUUUCUUUUUCUUUUUUUCUUUUUGAUGCAGACCAUUUUUAAAGUCUUUGUUGAAUUUGUUACAAUAUUGCUUCUGUUUUAUGUUUGGUUUUUUGGUCGUGAGCCACGUGGGAUCCUAUCUCCCUGACCAGAGAUCGAACCCGCACCCCCUGAACUGGAAGCUCCUUGCUCAAUGACGCUUUCAUUGGUGGGCAGAGAGACAAGAUAGCAGAGUAGAAGGACCUUUGGCUCAUCUCCUCUCACAAGCACACCAAAAUCACAACUAACUGCUAAACAACCAUCGAUUAAAAAGACUGGAACUGACCAAAAAAAGGUAUUCUACACCCAAAGACAUAAAGAAGAAACCACAGUGAAACGGAGCUUUAUGAAAUGACCUACUGGGCACAAUUUACUCCGAAGGGUUCCUCUGUGAAACAGUUGAAAACUACACGCUCUCAGAUGUUCACGAUCUCCAGCUACCAGCUCUGACAGGGGUGAGGCAGUUGCAUUCAGGCUUCCUGUUCUCCACCCAUUGCAUAACCUCCACCCCAGCCACGCAGUGAUCAAGGGAUGAUGGCUCAGGAGACUCUGGUAUUGCCGACUACUCUCUGAAGGGUAAUAUGGUCCAGAGGAUUUCUGCAGAAAAGAGUCCUUGACGCCUUGUGUUACAUUAACGUCAUAUGAUCCCUGAGUUCUCAAGGAAACACAGGGGCCAGAGAAACAUAUUAAGUGAUACCAGGGAGAUGGAUGCAACCAACCAAAUCCAGUAUGUGGGAGAAAAUGACAAGAAAGACCAACUAGCAACUGUGCACAACAAGACACCUCUGAAGAUUCCAGAACCCAGGAGUGGGGUUGAAGCAUACCCUUGGAUCACAGAAACCAGGAAACACUGCAUUAGAAGGCAGGCAAAACUGAGAACUUAAGCCCAGGACACAGCAUCUCAGAGACUGCUUCCAAAGAGAUGGGCAUGGCUGGCUUGGAAUUCAUGUGCUGAAGGUGGAGCCACAAGAUGAAAGGAAUCUAGAUCUCCAAGUCAUUAUUUAGAGGACAGCUGCCAGUCAAUGAAGAAAACUUCUUUUGGACUUUAUAUGAGCAAGAAAUAAACCUGUAUCGUGCUUCAGCUACAAGAACAACUUUACCAGAGUGAAACCCUCAAGACAAAGGAUCCCAGGAGAGAAAUCUCAUCAGGAAAAGAGAGGAA